UACAGAGGUCCCAAGCGUUGUUCGGAUUCACUGGGCUUAAAGCGUGUGUAGGCGGGCGGGCAAGUACCUUGUGAAAUCCCACGGCUCAACCGUGGAACGGCUGGGUAUACUGCCUGUCUUGAGCCAACUAGGGGCGAGCGGAACAGACGGUGGAGCGGUGAAAUGCGUAGAUAUCGUCUGGAACGCCAAAGGUGAAAACAGCUCGCUGGGGUUGUGCUGACGCUGAGACACGAAAGCCAGGGGAGCGAACGGG
rnacentral:rRNA from 1 species